CCUCAGGUUCCUUUUGGAGCCAUAAAAGAUAAGCAUGAAGUUUUAAU
rfam:Meleagris gallopavo isolate NT-WF06-2002-E0010 breed Aviagen turkey brand Nicholas breeding stock chromosome 2, whole genome shotgun sequence.